GCCCAGACUCCUACGGGAGGCAGCAGUGGGGAAUAUUGCACAAUGGGGGGAACCCUGAUGCAGCGACGCCGCGUGAGUGAAGAAGUAUUUCGGUAUGUAAAGCUCUAUCAGCAGGGAAGAAAAUGACGGUACCUGACUAAGAAGCCCCGGCUAACUACGUGCCAGCAGCCGCGGUAAUACGUAGGGGGCAAGCGUUAUCCGGAAUUACUGGGUGUAAAGGGAGCGUAGACGGCGAGGUAAGCCUGAAGUGGAAGCCCGCGGCCCAACCGCGGAACUGCUUUGGGAACUGUUUUGCUGGAGUAUGGGAGGGGUAAGCGGAAUUCCUGGUGUAGCGGUGAAAUGCGUAGAUAUCAGGAGGAACACCGGUGGCGAAGGCGGCUUACUGGACCAUAACUGACGUGGAGGCUCGAAAGCGUGGGGAGCGAACAGGAUUAGAUACCCCGGUACA
rnacentral:rRNA from 1 species